UAAAACUUAUUUACACCGUCGGU
rnacentral:miRNA from 1 species